CCAUGGUGGAUGACAGAACACAAAGGUAGUCCAAAGGAAUUCUGUUUACCCUUUUUGUAGAAUCAUUAAGGUUGGAAGAGAUCUCCAAGAUCAUCAAAUCCAACUGCCAACCCGCCCCCACCAUGCCCACUGCCCACGUCCCUCAAUGCCACAUCUCCAUGGUUACUGAGCACCUCCAGGGAUGGUGACCUCACCACCUCCCCAGGCAGCCCAUUCCAGUCCGUCACUACUCUUUUAGAGAAGAAUAUUUUUUCUAAUUCUGUGUUCACAUAUACUAUUAUUUUUCAGUGCUUUCUCUGUUUAUGCUAUAUUUAGGCUUUAAUAUAUAUAUAUAUAUAUAUAUAUAUAUAUGUGUGUGUGUGUGUGUGUGUAUUUCCAACUUUUUAAUAAAUAAAUAAUACCAGUACUUAGAAAUUAUGUAUUUGGGCCAAAUCUUAGUUGAACGCAAAUUUUUAUCAUGCUGCUGAUUUUGGUGAGACUCAGAAGAAUGGGUACCCAAAUCAGAGUUCUGCUGUUUAAAAGCAGCUGAUGAAAUGGCCCGAGAAGAAUAGAAAUGUGGUUGGGUGUAUUUACAAUACCUUCUGAAAUGAAAUAAGAAAAUUACUGAGGAAACUUCUGGAGGGAGGAAAAUACUGCAUUAUCUCUGCAUAUUGUAUUGUCUUCAGAAAUAACUGGGAAGCAAGAGUUGACUCAGUUUGGAAAACAAAGAACAUAAUGAAAUACCCAUGAAAGGUAUCGUUGUGUUUCAGAUCUACAUCACCAAUUGUACAGUCAUUUUGGAAACUGCCUCAACUGAGCUCUCUAGCACCUUUAACUCUUCACACAAUCCCACUGAAAAUAGGCAAGAGAGACACUCAUAAACAACCACUGAAUAGGAAAAAGUAAGUGUCCCACUCACACGAUCAUUAGUUACUACUAAAAAAUAUUUAUGGCACUGUAAAAUCUCAUGUCUCUCCCUUGGCUUGAAAAGUUCUGUUAUUUCUUAUUCUCUAUUGUUCCAUACUAUUUAUAACUUCUAGCUGCCCAGGUCAUACUCCCUGUAGUUCCCCUGCCAGGUUAGAAGAAUGUUUUUGUCCUUUUCUGUCUAAAAUUACUCCAGCACGCUUUAUCUUCUGUUUCCUCUAAUUAUUUUCUCCAGUUCAUUGUUCCUGAUAUUGUUCCUAAACUGAACGUAUUGAUUUCCUGUCUCUCCUCCUGUCUUUUGUUUAUUAAGAUGAUAAAUGCUUUAAGAUAGAGCCUGUUCUUUGUUACACAUAUUGAAUCUCUCUUGGAUCUUACAAGCAAAUCACCAUCCCAAAUUUAAGAGCUGAAUCACAAAUCGAAUAAGUUU
rnacentral:lncRNA from 1 species